UACGUAGGGUGCAAGCGUUGUCCGGAAUCAUUGGGCGUAAAGCGCGCGUAGGCGGCCCGAUAAGUCUGCUGUGAAAGUCCAGGGCUCAACCCUGGAAUGCCGGUGGAUACUGUCGGGCUAGAGUUCGGAAGAGGCAAGUGGAAUUCCUGGUGUAGCGGUGGAAUGCGCAGAUAUCAGGAGGAACACCUAUAGCGAAGGCAGCUUGCUGGGACGACACUGACGCUGAGGCGCGAAAGCGUGGGGAGCGAACAGG
rnacentral:rRNA from 1 species